rnacentral:snRNA from 1 species
AGAUGUGAGGGCGAUCUGGUUGGGACAUCUGUCACCCCAUCGAUCGCCAGGGUUGAUUCAGCUGAUCUGGCUGGCUAGGGAGGUGUCGCCUUCCUCUCUCACUGCUCCAUGUGCAUUCCUUCUGAAGCUGCAUGCUAGGUUGAAGAGGAUGACCAACCCCAAUAGAGGAGGACCGGUCUUCAAGGGUAUACGAGUAGCUGCACUUUCCUGCUAGAACCUCCAAACAAGCUCUCAAGAAAAUAUUAAAAGAAAAUACUAAAAAAUCCAAAUAAUUGGAUCUUGAGUAUCUGGUUAUAAAAAGAUAUAUAUAAAUAUAUAAACAUGUAUAUACUUUUUUUAU